rnacentral:lncRNA from 1 species
AAAAAGUUCACAAUGCAAUAAGAGGCAUGGACAAAGAAAGAGUUUAGAUUAGGGGUCCUUUCAAGUCAACUUUCAAGAUUUAGCAUUCUAAAGGCAUGAGGCUUAGUUGCUUUUCAACAAAUUUUAGCAUUCUAAAGGCAUGAGGCCUAGUUGCUCUUGAACUCCAUUAAGCAUAGGUAAAGUCCUAAUUCUAAGUCCUUUCUCCUUUUUGCAUUGG